UACGUAGGGCGCAAGCGUUGUCCGGAAUUAUUGGGCGUAAAGAGCUCGUAGGCGGUCUGUUACGUCCGCUGUGAAAACCCAGGGCUUAACCCUGGGCUUGCAGUGGAUACGGGCAGACUAGGGGCAGGUAGGGGAGAAUGGAAUUCCCGGUGUAGCGGUGAAAUGCGCAGAUAUCGGGAGGAACACCGGUGGCGAAGGCGGUUCUCUGGAACGCAACUGACGCUGAGACGCGAAAGCGUGGGGAGCAAACAGG
rnacentral:rRNA from 1 species